rnacentral:lncRNA from 1 species
GGGUUUUGGUUGUUUUUAUUAUAACUUAGAAAAUUAAAUGUAUACUUACAGAGUAGUUACUACGUACCAUCAGCAAGGAUAUGAAUUCCAUAGAUAUGAAUAAAAGAAACUUUGAUUUUCUAAUAGAGACUUAGUCCCAAUCAAUAUUCCUAAGGACUUUAAUUUUCCUUUUUUUCUUUAGAAAGAAAACGUUUUUUUCCAUUUUGUUUUAUUUCUUUUCAGUGUUCCAGAAUUCAUUGUUUAUGCACCACACCCAGUGCUCCAUGCGAUAUGUGCCCUCCACAAAGGAACUGCCACAAAAUGCAAUCUUCUGAAGAAAUGGAACCAUAAAAAUAACCAAAGUCAAAUAGUUGCAACACUGAAAAUCUCACCACAAAGUCAUCAGAAGAAAUGCAAAAGACCACCUCUUCUUUCAAAAUAAGCUUAAGCACCUUGUAUAGUAGUAGAGCUUACAAAAAAUUAAGUAAAUAAAUAAUGGAUGAACACUAACACCGCUGGGCAUUCAAUGCUGUCAUUUAAGUCUUGGAACAUUUGCAAGUGUUUAUUUGCAAACAUGUGCUUCUGGGCGUUCACAUAUCC